GCCGGCGUAGCUCAGUUGGUUAGAGCGCUUGAUUGUGGAUCAAGAGGUCUGGGGUUCAAAUCCCUGCGCCGGUACCA
rnacentral:tRNA from 1 species